rnacentral:tRNA from 1 species
GGUCGGUUGGCUCAGUGGUAGAGCACUGCCUUCACACGGCAGGGGUCACAAGUUCGAAUCUUGUACCGACCA